rnacentral:rRNA from 1 species
AGGAGCCUGCGUUUGAUUAGCUUGUUGGUGGGGUAAUGGCCUACCAAGGCGAUGAUCAAUAGCUGGUCUGAGAGGAUGAUCAGCCACACUGGGACUGAGACACGGCCCAGACUCCUACGGGAGGCAGCAGUGGGGAAUAUUGGACAAUGGGGGCAACCCUGAUCCAGCAAUGCCGCGUGUGUGAAGAAGGUUUUCGGAUUGUAAAGCACUUUCGACGGGGACGAUGAUGACGGUACCCGUAGAAGAAGCCCCGGCUAACUUCGUGCCAGCAGCCGCGGUAAUACGAAGGGGGCUAGCGUUGCUCGGAAUGACUGGGCGUAAAGGGCGUGUAGGCGGUUUGUACAGUCAGAUGUGAAAUCCCCGGGCUUAACCUGGGAGCUGCAUUUGAUACGUGCAGACUAGAGUGUGAGAGAGGGUUGU